UACGUAGGGGGCGAGCGUUGUCCGGAUUCAUUGGGCGUAAAGCGCGUGUAGGCGGUCCGGUAAGUCCGCUGUGAAAGUCGAGGGCUCAACCCUCGAAUGCCGGUGGAUACUGUCGGGCUUGAGUACGGGAGAGGCGAGUGGAAUUCCUGGUGUAGCGGUGAAAUGCGCAGAUAUCAGGAGGAACACCGAUUGCGAAGGCAGCUCGCUGGAACGUUACUGACGCUGAGACGCGAAAGCGUGGGGAGUAAACAGG
rnacentral:rRNA from 1 species